AACGUAGGUCACAAGCGUUGUCCGGAAUUACUGGGUGUAAAGGGAGCGCAGGCGGGAAGACAAGUUGGAAGUGAAAUCUAUGGGCUCAACCCAUAAACUGCUUUCAAAACUGUUUUUCUUGAGUAGUGCAGGGGUAGGCGGAAUUCCCGGUGUAGCGGUGGAAUGCGUAGAUAUCGGGAGGAACACCAGUGGCGAAGGCGGCCUACUGGGCACCAACUGACGCUGAGGCUCGAAAGUGUGGGUAGCAAACAGG
rnacentral:rRNA from 1 species